rnacentral:rRNA from 1 species
UACGUAGGGUGCAAGCGUUAAUCGGAAUUACUGGGCGUAAAGGGCGCGUAGGCGGCGCGGUAAGUCACUUGUGAAAUCUCUGAGCUUAACUCAGAACGGCCAAGUGAUACUGCAGUGCUAGAGUGUGGAAGGGCAAUCGGAAUUCUUGGUGUAGCGGUGAAAUGCGUAGAUAUCAAGAGGAACACCUGAGGUGAAGACGGGUUGCUGGGCCAACACUGACGCUGAGGCGCGAAAGCCAGGGGAGCAAACGGG